CAACCUCUAAGCACAGCUUACUGUUGGGAAUCUACGUCUGUAGUUCCUCAAAGACAUUGGCGGAGCGGCAGUAGUCCUCUGAGCGUAGUAAUUUUUUAUCUCGCUUCUGUUAGGCGCUGUCGUCCCGGCCGUUAAACCCCCAAUUUUUUCU
rnacentral:misc_RNA from 3 species